GGGAACUCAGACAGGAAAUUCGCUUUUCAGACGCUCCACGUGGGUGCCUUGCAAUCAGACAGGGUAUUACUCCGCUCCAAGGCCUCUGACUGACUAAGCCGAGUUACGGCCAGAGGCGCGAGGCGGGGACCUACUGGCUCUCUUUGCGGAAUUCCAGGCGAGGUGGAGACGAAUGAAUGAAACGCACGGAAACCUCCUUGCCAAAGAGCAGCAUCCAGGGCGCAGCUUUAAGAAACAGCGACAGAGGCGCUAGAAAACCAGGAAUCUGCAGAAGCUUAGAUAAAUUGAUAAAGCAGGGAUUCCCUGAAGGAGCACGGUGAGAACCCCUCCCCCACAUCUAGCUGGAAUAUCCAAAGGUAGGCUGCAAGAUGAAGGGGCUCUAGCCUUAUUCUUUCUUUCUUUCUUUUCUUUUUUUUUUUUUUUGGUCUUUUCUGUCUUUUUAGGGCCCCACCCGCAGCAUAUGGAGGUUCCCAGGCUAGGCGUCUAAACGGAGCUGUAGCUGCCAUCCUACACCACAGGCACAGCAACGCCAGAUCCGAGCCACGUCUGCGACCUACUCCACAACUCAUGGCAACGCCAGAUCCUUAACCCACUGAGCAAGGCUGCAGAUCAAACCUGCAACCCCAUGGUUCCUAGUCGGAUUCGUUUCCGCUGCGCCACAACGGGAACUCCUUGAGCCGUAUUCUUAAAGAACUCCAGAUUUCUGGAUAGGAAGUGUGGCCAGGUACUAGUGGUCAGAAUCAGAAGAGGACGUGCAGGAAGCCCAAUCAUUUCCGGCUUAGAAACAAGAAAGGAUGAGAAAUACUUGCUGAUUGGCCUUCCCGUCGUGGUUCAGUGGUUAACAAACCGGACUAGCAUCCAUAAGGAUGCGUGUUGGAUCCCUGGCCUUGCUCAGUGGGUUAAGGAUCUGGCGUUGCCAUGAGCUGUGGUGUAGGUCACAGACAUGACUUGGAUCCUGAGUUACUGUGGCUGUGGUGUAGGCUGGCAACUACAGCUUUGACUGGACCCCUAGCCUGGGAACCUCCACAGGUGUGGCCCUAAAAAGACCAAAAAAAAAAAAGAAGAAGAAGAAGAAAGAAAGAAAUACUUGUGGAUUAAGCUGACAUGCGCACAGGGAAAGAAUUUAGAGUCCCAUCUCAGGGGAGUUUAGCCAGGGUGAGCCAUUAGUGUUGCUAGUUUGUUUUGGCUGUGCCCGUGGCAUGAAGAAGUUCCUAGGCCAGGGAUCGAACCCCCACCACAGCAGUAACCAGAGCCACAGCGGUGACAACGCUGGGUCCUUAACCCCCUGAGCCCCCGGGGGCUCCCAGGGCAUGUCAUUUGGACCUUCCACAUCCCACCGGUCAAACCCGGCCCCCCCAACAUGCCAGCCCUUCAUCUGCGACGGUCCAGUCCAAUGACCUGUCCAUCACACAAAUACUAACUUGCAAGAUGUCUAAGUUGGUGGCUCCGGGGGGGAAUCAAAAGUCAUCUCUCUGCUCUUGUUC
rnacentral:lncRNA from 1 species